GAUGAACGCUAGCUACAGGCUUAACACAUGCAAGUCGAGGGGCAGCGGUAUCGAAAGCUUGCUUUCGGUAGCCGGCGACCGGCGCACGGGUGAGUAACGCGUAUCGAACCUGCCUCAUACUCGGGAAUAGCCUUGCGAAAGUAAGAUUAAUGCCCGGUGUUUUCAGAGUCCCGCAUGAGGCUUUGAACAAAGAUUUAUCGGUAUGAGAUGGCGAUGCGUCCCAUUAGCUUGUUGGCGGGGUAACGGCCCACCAAGGCAUCGAUGGGUAGGGGUUCUGAGAGGAAGGUCCCCAACAUUGGAACUGAGACACGGUCCAAACUCCUACGGGAGGAAGCAGUGAGGAAUAUUGGUCAAUGGGCGGAAGCCUGAACCAGCCAAGUAGCGUGCAGGAAGACGGCCCUCCGGGUUGUAAACUGCUUUUAGUUGGGAAUAAAACGGGGCUCGUGAGCCCCCUUGCAUGUACCAUCAGAAAAAGGACCGGCUAAUUCCGUGCCAGCCGCCGCAGUAA
rnacentral:rRNA from 1 species